rnacentral:rRNA from 1 species
AUGCACGCUGGCGGCGUGCCUAAUACAUGCCAGUCGAGCGAACAGACGAGGAGCUUGCUCCUCUGACGUUAGCGGCGGACGGGUGAGUAACACGUGGAUAACCUACCUAUAAGACUGGGAUAACUUCGGGAAACCGGAGCUAAUACCGGAUAAUAUAUUGAACCGCAUGGUUCAAUAGUGAAAGACGGUUUUGCUGUCACUUAUAGAUGGAUCCGCGCCGCAUUAGCUAGUUGGUAAGGUAACGGCUUACCAAGGCAACGAUGCGUAGCCGACCUGAGAGGGUGAUCGGCCACACUGGAACUGAGACACGGUCCAGACUCCUACGGGAGGCAGCAGUAGGGAAUCUUCCGCAAUGGGCGAAAGCCUGACGGAGCAACGCCGCGUGAGUGAUGAAGGUCUUCGGAUCGUAAAACUCUGUUAUUAGGGAAGAACAAAUGUGUAAGUAACUAUGCACGUCUUGACGGUACCUAAUCAGAAAGCCACGGCUAACUACGUG